CCGUAUCUGUCGCGCGAGGUCUCCCACCGACGCCUCUGACGCACUUCCCCGGCGCCAGAAGCGCCCUCGGGGGGAGUCCUGGCCCGACAGGUCGCCAUCC
rfam:Micrococcales bacterium 73-15 SCNpilot_expt_1000_bf_scaffold_329, whole genome shotgun sequence.